GAAAUUGUUUAAUUACGGGGUGCGCUGCAGUUCCGUCGUGGCUUGAAACUUGUUGAAGCAAUCAACCGAAAAGCUUUCAUAACUUGUCAACAAUUAAAAAUAAUUGUCACGAGUUUUCCAUCGUCUACGUCUUUAUUUUUAUACAUUAUGAAAUUACGAAAUGGAGAACUUCCUGGUGUGCAUACGUAUGGAUAUGCUGGCAAACAUUGGCCAGAAAGUCCUUUGGAAAGUCACGGAAAAAUGAAAUGGGUGGGUCGCCAUUCAUCAUAAACAAUUAUUCCCUAAUGAAGUCUUUGAAAUUCAAUGCGGAGGUGCCCAUUGAAAAAAGAUAACUUCAUUCAGCAGAUGUAUCUAAAAAACCGUGAAGAUGGAACGCUUCAAGAAUUCACUGUCACCAAUCAUCUCGGGAUAUUUCAAUAAAAUUCUGGAGGGUCAUAAAUCAAUCGAUAAAUUUAGUGAUGGAAACAUGUUGCGAUGUCCCAAAAAAGUCAGGAAAAAUCUGAUACCAGACUUUCUUCGAAACUUUCUCAUGAAAAAACUAGAGAGUCAUGUUCGCUUUAGAUAUUCUCGAAGGAAUCACAGCAUCCUGACGCGUAUAUAUCUUGCGUUGUAACUUGAAACGAUGUGACACAAUAUUUGUGAGGAAGGAAGAUUUGUUAGAUAUGGUGAUGAUGGCAUGUUUGGCAUCGUCGACAGUGCGUUGUAAGUUAAAUAUUAAGUUGGUGUUUAUAAACAGCAAACAACAAACAAACA